rnacentral:rRNA from 1 species
AGAUUGAACGCUGGCGGCAUGCCUUACACAUGCAAGUCGAACGGCAGCACGGGGGCAACCCUGGUGGCGAGUGGCGAACGGGUGAGUAAUAUAUCGGAACGUGCCCUGGAGUGGGGGAUAACUAGUCGAAAGACUAGCUAAUACCGCAUACGAUCUACGGAUGAAAGUGGGGGAUCGCAAGACCUCAUGCUCGUGGAGCGGCCGAUAUCUGAUUAGCUAGUUGGUGGGGUAAAGGCCUACCAAGGCAUCGAUCAGUAGCUGGUCUGAGAGGACGACCAGCCACACUGGGACUGAGACACGGCCCAGACUCUACGGGAGCAGCAGGUGGGGUAAUUUUGGACAAGUGGGCGCAAGCCUGAUCCAGCAAUGCCGCGUGAGUAGAAGAAGGCCUUAGGUUGUAAAGUCGUUCUUUGUUCAGGAAGGAAACGGUUACGUCGGACUAAUUACC